rnacentral:lncRNA from 1 species
CUGCCCACUUUUUGAUGGGGUUGUUUUUUUCUUGUAAAUUUGUUUAAGUUCUUUGUAGAUUCUGGAUAUUAGCCCUUUGUCAGACGGAUAGAUUGCAAAAAUUUUCUCCAAUCUUAGUCUUCAAAGGUCACUGUCUAUAUCAAACUCUAAGACAGCUAUAGUAAAUUAAAGUAAUUAUGGUUUUUAUUUGCCCAGCCAACUUAACCAUGUCCCUCAUUCUGACAAUUUAAUCCUGUCCUCCCUGGGCACACACCUGACUCAGGCCUGACCAAUCAUAGUAUCCCAUUUCCUUGGACACAGUCAUUGCUUCAGUGUGGGCAUGUGAUCUAAGCUGGGCCAAUCAGAGUCCUUCCCUGGGAUUCCUGGAUUGGAGCUAAAGAAGUAGCCUUGCCUCUACGGUACAGAGCUGAGAGAAUGUGAAGGAAAAAUGGCAACCAUCUAUAGCUCUAGGAAUAUGUCCAUUUCCAGCAAGCAGAACAUAAACAGAUGACAGACUAAUGGGAGAAAAAUAAUCCUGGUGGCAUUAACCCUGAUUCCAGUGGCUAAGGCCUCAGUUCCUAAGGCCCUUCUUGCAAUCCUAGGGAAUACCUACUCCUUAUCUUUUCUACUAAGUGAGCCACUAAGUUUCUCUCUUUACUGAACCCUGUCACCAUGAACCCUCUCUAACUUAACAGCCCUUCUUACCCAGGUAUUUUUUAAAAUAUCCAGUCACCAUUUCUCUAAGAGGAAAUUCACUUUACUCCAGGGAGACGGAAGAAAGGAGAGAAAGCAGCAGGUGCUCAGUAGGAGAGGUGAGUGAGAUUAUGAGUACAAAGAUUUAGUAUAUGUUUCUCUUCAAUAAAGAAACAAAGAGGACAUCAGCAGCUCUUGGUCCUAGUAAAAGGGUCUGAGGCCAUAAUUUUUGUUUUUGUUUUUGUUUGAGACAAGGUCUCGCUCUGUCACCCAUGCUGGAGUGCAGUGGCACGAUCAUGGCUCACUUCAGCCUCCACCUCCCAGGCUCACAGGCUUAAUCCAUCCUCUCGCCUCAGCCUCCUA